CCUACGGGGGGCAGCAGUGGGGAAUAUUGCACAAUGGGCGCAAGCCUGAUGCAGCCAUGCCGCGUGUGUGAAGAAGGCCUUCGGGUUGUAAAGCACUUUCAGCGGGGAGGAAGGCGGUGAGGUUAAUAACCUCAUCGAUUGACGUUACCCGCAGAAGAAGCACCGGCUAACUCCGUGCCAGCAGCCGCGGUAAUACGGAGGGUGCAAGCGUUAAUCGGAAUUACUGGGCGUAAAGCGCACGCAGGCGGUCUGUCAAGUCGGAUGUGAAAUCCCCGGGCUCAACCUGGGAACUGCAUUCGAAACUGGCAGGCUAGCGUCUUGUAGAGGGGGGUAGAAGUCCAGGUGGAGCGGUGAAAUGCGUAGAGAUCUGGAGGAAUACCGGUGGCGAAGGCGGCCCCCUGAACAAAGACUGACGCUCAGGUGCGAAAGCGUGGGGAGCAAACAGGAUUAGAUACCCUUGUAGUC
rnacentral:rRNA from 1 species